rnacentral:snRNA from 2 species
AGGAAUCGGUCUCCUAGUAUUAGCGAAAGCUACUUAUAGGAGUAAAUAAACAAGAAAUUCAAUGAUCGAAUAUAUCUUUCGCCUUUUACUAAAGAUAUCCGUGGAGGAGAACAACAUAAUGAGUCUAUAGACUAAUUUUUUGUAGCUCUGCCUUACGGCGGGGCC